rnacentral:rRNA from 1 species
AUUGAACGCUGGCGGCAGGCUUAACACAUGCAAGUCGAGCGAGCGGCGGACGGGUGAGUAAUGUCUGGGAAACUGCCUGAUGGAGGGGGAUAACUACUGGAAACGGUAGCUAAUACCGCAUACCAUCAGAUGUGCCCAGAUGGAAUUAGCUUGUUGGUGGGGUAACGGCUCACCAAGGCGACGAUCCCUAGCUGGUCUGAGAGGAUGACCAGACACACUGGAAUGUAGACACGGUCCAGACUCCGACGGUAGGUAGCAGUGGGGAAUAUUGCACAAUGGGCGCAAGCCGUAUGCAGCCAUGCCGCGUGUAUGAAGAAGGCCUUCGGGUUGUAAAGUACUUUCAGCGGGGAGGCGUUACCCGCAGAAGAAGCACCGGCUAACUCCGUGCCAGCAGCCGCGGUAAUAC